rnacentral:tRNA from 1 species
GGCAGAGUGGCUGAGUGGUCAAAGCGAUGGUCUCGAAUGGCUGUACUGAAUAGGCUCCCCCCGGACCCUUCUUCGUCUUCUCGACAGGCUGCGGCUUUUGGGGGGGGGGGGGGGCAGCCACGAGGUAACCAUUACGUUCGCGUGCGUAGGUUCGAAUCCUGUCUCUGUCG